rnacentral:rRNA from 1 species
UACAGAGGGGGCAAGCGUUGUUCGGAAUUACUGGGCGUAAAGGGCGCGUAGGCGGCCGCCUAAGUCAGACGUGAAAUCCCUCGGCUCAACCGGGGAACUGCGUCCGAUACUGGAAGGCUUGAAUCCGGGAGAGGGAUGCGGAAUUCCAGGUGUAGCGGUGAAAUGCGUAGAUAUCUGGAGGAACACCGGUGGCGAAGGCGGCAUCCUGGACCGGUAUUGACGCUGAGGCGCGAAAGCCAGGGGAGCAAACGGG